rnacentral:rRNA from 1 species
UAGGGAAUCUUCCGCAAUGGACGCAAGUCUGACGGAGCAACGCCGCGUGAGUGAAGAAGGAUUUCGGUUCGUAAAACUCUGUUGUUAGAGAAGAACAGCGCAUAGAGUAACUGUUAUGCGUGUGACGGUAUCUAACCAGAAAGCCACGGCUAACUACGUGCCAGCAGCCGCGGUAAUACGUAGGUGGCAAGCGUUGUCCGGAUUUAUUGGGCGUAAAGCGAGCGCAGGCGGUAAAUUAAGUCUGAUGUGAAAGCCCCCGGCUCAACCGGGGAGGGUCAUUGGAAACUGGUUGACUUGAGUGCAGAAGAGGAGAGUGGAAUUCCAUGUGUAGCGGUGAAAUGCGUAGAUAUAUGGAGGAACACCAGUGGCGAAGGCGACUCUCUGGUCUGUAACUGACGCUGAGGCUCGAAAGCGUGGGUAGCAAACAGG